GAAGGGAUGGCGUCUUCGCGGCCGUGGGGCGACCCUCGGUCCGGAGGGGCGACCCUCGGUCCGGAGGCGCCACCCCGCGGGUGCGGACAUUCCCGGCGCCGGAGUGACGCACUUCUCCCCCGGUAGAACGUCGCGAUCCGUCGGUCGCCGGCUUAAGGCCCCGGGUGGAGCCUGUUUCGCCGCGCAUGACCCCGGGGAUCCGGGCCGGGUGUCCGACGGUAUGAAGAGAGGAAGGAGUCGACGCGCCUCGUUCGUAGGCGUCCGCCCCUCCGCAAGCGCCCGCGGGAGUGGGAGGUUCCGGGCCCGGCCCGGUCUCCUCCUUCAGCGGGGCUGUUUGCGAUCCGGAGG
rnacentral:rRNA from 1 species